UUUCACCUGAAAAAAAAAAGAAGCUUUGUAAAGCCCAUCUGAAAAAAGAGCAAGUCGCGUGUUUUCUGUUUCAAGGGUUGAACCCUUAUUCUUCUCUGCCGUCGUGAUGUAGUCUCAAACUCUAGGGUUUCGAUUCAUCUUCUUACUCCAACCCCGUUUUUUACCAGUUUCAGAUUCAUCUUCUUAAAGUCCUUCUUAAUUUUAUUAUCCACGAUCUACAUUUAUUGUUUGCUUCACUCUUGCAAAACGGUGGAAACCUCAGUAUAUAAAGAUUAGCAUCCGUAUUCUCGAGAUCAUCCUACCAAUCUAUUCAAACAGAUAAAUCCAUGUAGAUUCUGGAAAAUGGCUAUCGCUCAAGUUUUUCUUUCUGACUCGAAGUCUGGAAGAUGUUCUUCCUCAAGUGAGAUGAGGUUGUUUCGUUUCUAUGAGGCAAAGAAUAUUGGGAGGCGAGCCUAUGGGCGUCUACAUACUCCACCUCGGCGUUAAGAUUCCAAUGAUUUGUAUGGUGCAUCAUGAGGAUCUGAUAAGUUUAAACAUUCUGUGUCAAUAAAAUCAGCCAGAGAAUUGUUGCCCUUGGUCGUUCUGCUUCUGAUUUCAAUCUGUCAUGCCAUCUUUGAAGUCUCCAAGUUUGUCUGUUUCAUGGUGAAGCUCGACAUCUUUUUACAGAUAUGCCAAAGGGAGAGUUGAAAAAGUAUCAUCUCUCUCCUGAAUCCCUCUUUUAUUCUCCUAUUUUGCUUUUGUGAAAACAACAGUGAAAGACUUACAUUGUAUACAUAUAUACCUCUCUUGGCUUUCCCGUACCUUUUUAUAACUGUUUCAAAAUGAUUCUUUUGGUUAUUA